AUACGGAGGGUCCGAGCGUUAAUCGGAAUUACUGGGCGUAAAGCGCGCGUAGGCGGCUAUAUAAGUCAGAUGUGAAAUCCCUGGGCUCAACCUAGGAACUGCAUUUGAAACUGUAUGGCUAGAGUAUGGUAGAGGUGAGUGGAAUUUCAGGUGUAGCGGUGAAAUGCGUAGAGAUCUGAAGGAACAGCAGUGGCGAAGGCGACUCACUGGGCCAUUACUGACGCUGAGGUGCGAAAGCGUGGGUAGCAAACAGGAUUAGAAACCCUAGUAGUCC
rnacentral:rRNA from 1 species